AGAUUGAACGCUAGCGGGAUGCUUUACACAUGCAAGUCGAACGGCAGCGCGGACUUCGGUCUGGCGGCGAGUGGCGAACGGGUGAGUAAUAUAUCGGAACGUGCCCAGUAGCGGGGGAUAACUACGCGAAAGCGUGGCUAAUACCGCAUACGCCCUACGGGGGAAAGGGGGGAUUCUUCGGAACCUCUCACUAUUGGAGCGGCCGAUAUCAGAUUAGCUAGUUGGUGGGGUAAAGGCCCACCAAGGCGACGAUCUGUAGCUGGUUUGAGAGGACGACCAGCCACACUGGGACUGAGACACGGCCCAGACUCCUACGGGAGCAGCAGUGGGGAAUCGUGCGCAAGUGGGCAAAGCC
rnacentral:rRNA from 1 species